AAUGAACGCUGGCGGCAUGCCUUACACACGCAAGUCGAACGGUAACAGGUCUUCGGAUGCUGACGAGUGGCGAACGGGUGAGUAAUACAUCGGAACGUGCCUAGUAGUGGGGGAUAACUACUCGAAAGAGUGGCUAAUACCGCAUGCGAUCUACGGAUGAAAGCAGGGGAUCGCAAGACCUUGUGCUACUAGAGCGGCCGAUGGCAGAUUAGGUAGUGGGUGGGAUAAAAGCUUACCAAGCCGACGAUCUGUAGCUGGUCUGAGAGGACGAUCAGCCACACUGGGACUGAGACACGGCCCAGACUCCUACGGGAGGCAGCAGUGGGGAAUUUUGGACAAUGGGCGAAAGCCUGAUCCAGCAAUGCCGCGUGCAGGAUGAAGGCCUUCGGGUUGUAAACUGCUUUUGUACGGAACGAAAAGCCCCGGGUUAAUACCCUGGGGUCAUGACGGUACCGUAAGAAUAAGCACCGGCUAACUACGUGCCAGCCGCCGCCGUAA
rnacentral:rRNA from 1 species